CAGAGAAUUUUAGAUCCAGCAAAACUAUCCUUCAAAACUAUAAGAAAGGAUGAGCAUGGUGGCUCACACCUGUAAUCCCAGUACUUUAGGAGGCUGAGGCAGGAGGAUUGCCUGAGCCCAGGAAUUUGAGACCAGCCUGGGCAACAUGGCAAAAAGCCAUCUCUACAAAAAAUACAACAAACAGCUGGGUGUGGUGGCAUGUGCCUGUGGUCCCAGCUACUCAGGAGGCUGAGGCAGGAGGAUCACUUGAGUCUGGCAGGUUGAGGCCUUGAUUGUGUCACUGCACUCCUACUUGGGUGACACAGUGAGACACCCUC
rnacentral:lncRNA from 10 species